rnacentral:rRNA from 1 species
CCGGAAGUAAAAGCGUAACAAGUUUCGUAGUGAACUGCGGAGGAUCAUUGUUGAUUCCUCCCAAGCAGUGCACUCGUGAAUUGUUAUUUACUCCGGGGGUUAUGCUGUCUCACGUCUCAACCUUGCACUUCCAAAGGGGCUGGGAAAAAUAAAAAAAGUAACAAGGUCUCCGUUGGUGAACCAGCGGAAGGAGGAUCAUUA